rnacentral:rRNA from 1 species
AUUGAACGCUGGCGGCAUGCCUUACACAUGCAAGUCGAACGGCAGCGCGGGUGCUUGCACCUGGCGGCGAGUGGCGAACGGGUGAGUAAUACAUCGGAACGUGCCCUAGAGUGGGGGAUAACUAGUCGAAAGAUUAGCUAAUACCGCAUACGAUCUACGGAUGAAAGUGGGGGACCGCAAGGCCUCAUGCUCCUGGAGCGGCCGAUGUCUGAUUAGCUAGUUGGUGGGGUAAUAGCCUACCAAGGCGACGAUCAGUAGCUGGUCUGAGAGGACGACCAGCCACACUGGGACUGAGACACGGCCCAGACUCCUACGGGAGGCAGCAGUGGGGAAUUUUGGACAAUGGGGGCAACCCUGAUCCAGCAAUGCCGCGUGUGUGAAGAAGGCCUUCGGGUUGUAAAGCACUUUUGUCAGGAACGAAACGGUGGGGGCUAAUACCUCCUGCUAAUGACGGUACCUGAAGAAUAAGCACCGGCUAACUACGUGCCAGCCGCCGCGGUAA